rnacentral:rRNA from 1 species
UACGUAGGGGGCAAGCGUUGUCCGGAAUUAUUGGGCGUAAAGCGCGCGUAGGCGGUCCGAUAAGUCGGCUGUGAAAGUCAGGGGCUCAACCCUUGAAAGCCGGCCGAUACUGUCGGACUAGAGUCCGGAAGAGGCAAGUGGAAUUCCCGGUGUAGCGGUGAAAUGCGCAGAUAUCGGGAGGAACACCAAUGGCGAAGGCAGCACUCUGGGACGUGACUGACGCUGAGACGCGAAAGCGUGGGGAGCAAACAGG